rnacentral:RNase_P_RNA from 14 species
AAAAAAAACAACGAGAGGGAAAGAAACAAAAAAAGAGAAAAGAGAAAAGGGAAGGUCAUCAACGGACCACAUUGGCAGUGGGUCUUUCCUUUUUCCCUUUCGUUCUCUUUUCCUCAUCAACGAUCCUCGUGAUCUUGAGAAUGGGAGGAUG